CGGUAAUUGGCGCACAUAUAGCGUUUUUAUCCAAAGCGCUUUACACUGGGUCUCAUUCACACUCACACCAGUGGUAGCAGAGCUGCCAUGCAAGGUGCUAACUUGCCAUCGGGAGCAACUCGGGGUUCAGCGUCUUACCCAAGGACACUUCAGCAUGUGGAGUCACGCGGGCCGGGAAUCGAACCGCCGACCCUACGAUUAGUGACAACCCGCUCUACCACCUGAUCCACAGCCGCCCCAUGAUACAAAUGAUGAUACAAUAAAUAAAAUAAAAUUGAUUCAUACACGUAGUUUCAUUCUAACUGCUUUAUAGCCGUUACAUUACACACCCUUAUGAAGUAUAAACUGAAAUGUAACUAACGUACUACAAUGACUCACAGUUUAAAUGAACCGCUAACGUCGCGGUUAGGAACCAAACACAGCGUAGAGUGUUAGCAUCGUCAUCUGCGUGUUUAGUAGUUUAGCACUAAAUGAAAAUCAAACAAGCCAAAAAGUGCAAAAUGAAACACGAUAUGCCUCUUUGCUGAGUAUUUUGAACUUACUAUAACUGAUAUCAGCGUUUGUUAUUUAAUACUGACGGAGAUUCAGGGUGAGGCCUGUCCGCCAUCACGAGGAAAGAAAGCCUGUGUGACGAAGUUUAAGCUAACCGCCGUAUUAAGCUUGCAUGCUGAAUAGCAAGACUGUUGACUAUGAAUAUUAGGAAUUAAAUAAACAUUUAUGUUAAAUUGUUAAAACUAUAUAUAUAGAAGUUGAGGUAUAUUUAAGGAUAAAAAUAUAAGGAUACAUAAAAAUCUUCUGACGGGUUUCGGUAGCUUACCAUUCUUUGCGACGUUCUGGACAAAAUGGAGCACCACCUACUGCCCUGACAACGAAGCGGAAAUACGCACGAAGCGGAAAUACGCACGAAGCGGAAAUACGCACGAAGACUCGACUCUAAAAUCAUGCUUACGUACUACGUCAGUUUUUUAUUUUUACUCCAUUGUAAUGAUGACUAUAUGGAUAUUCUGAUUUUGAACAAAUUAUGGACACACUUAUGUCGUUU
ensembl:lncRNA